rnacentral:pre_miRNA from 1 species
AGUAGAAUUUCUGGAUCAAAUGGAAAUUCUGUUUAACUUUUUGAAUAACUACCAUACCGUUUUUCAUAGUGACUGUACCAUUUUGCAUUUCCAUUGGAAGU